GCACCCGUAGCUCAGUGGAUAGAGCAUUGGUCUCCGGAACCAAGUGCGGGGGUUCGAUUCCCUCCGGGUGCGCCA
rnacentral:tRNA from 1 species